AGGAAGUAAAAGUCGUAACAAGGUUUCCGUAGGUGAACCUGCGGAAGGAUCAUUAUCGAUUCUCAAUGGAUGUGCUGGCUUUCUAUUGGAAGCAAGUGCACUCCUAACAACUUUAUUCACCUGUGCACUUGUGUUGUAGGCGAGAAGCAAUUCUUGUCUAUGAUUUUUUUAAUUCACACCAUUUGAUAAUCGUUGGGUAACUGUCAGAAUACAAUACAACUUUCAACAAUGGAUCUCUUGGUUCUCGCAUCGAUGAAGAACGCAGCGAAUUGCGAUAUGUAAUGUGAAUUGCAGAAUUCAGUGAAUCAUCGAAUCUUUGAACGCACAUUGCACCCUCUGGUACUCUGGAGGGUAUGCCUGUUUGAGUGUCAUUAAUAUAUCAAACACAAGACUUGUCUUGUGAUUUGGACUUGAAGGGUUUUGCUGAUUGUUAAAGUCAGCUCCUUUUAAAUACAUUAGUGGACUUGUGAACCCCCUCACCGGCCUCGGUUUGAUAGACCAUCUGAUCAUCUAUGCUGUCGCUGGUAAAAAGGGUUUGACCGCUUAUAAAUGUCUUUUAAAGACUUGUCCAUAGGGCAACUACAUUUAAGCCUUGACCUCAAAUCAGGUAGGACUACCCGCUGAACUUAAGCAUAUCAAUAA
rnacentral:rRNA from 1 species